UGGGAGAAGACAGUGUUGCUGCAGGGAUUUUGUAUGUGUGGGCAUAGGAGCUUACCAAGUGAUGCUCACGAGGGGAGCAAUACCUGCAAUAUCCAGCUGUGCAUGUGCUGUUGGAUCCUGCGGCACCUGCAAGCUCAAACAUGAUUUAUGCUGGGUGUCCACGCUGCCAAUUCUAUGUCAGUAGCUUGUGGCUUGUGAUGUCAAGGCAUCCUGGAAUGAGCCUGGGAUGAGGUCUCUGCUGAACACUGGGAAGCCCAAAAUUGCUGAGAGGCAUCACAACACACCUGGCCACAGGCACUGUGAUGAUUCUAAAUCAAGUCCUUGUGACUAGUGGGGAGUGUUUGAUGUAGCACUGCCCCAGCCCUUCCUCUUGAUCUCCAUGAAAGCUCAGUUGAAGCCAGAAACUGAGUCUUGUCUGUGCCUGACAAGCCCAGAAGGAAAGGCAGUUUGGGUUGGGACAACAGCAGAGAAAAAUCGGGCUCUUGUGUCUUAGAGCUAUUGUGGCCUCCCUGGCAGGAGAAGGUGGAGACAACAGCUCUAUUCCCACCAUUCGUAGACAGCAGAGAGGCCGUGCCUUGAACCCUGCUGUCCGUGGGCAGUGCCUGCAGGGAGCCAAGCUCGAGGACAGCAUGCUCACCACCUGAGUUGCUAAGCAGAUGGGUUCCUUUCUUUCCUACCAGUUGGCACAAAAUGUUCUUGCAGCUCUGGGUAAGGCAGCAUUCACUUUCAAGCUUGGCAAUGCCUGCAAUAUCCUCCAGUUCCAGAGGAGGAAAGAAAGAUCCACAAUCAGUAAUACCUGAGAUGGGUGAAUGUGGCAACCAACGUUAUCUUGAUAAAAUGAGCACUGAAAUAAACUGCUA